rnacentral:tRNA from 1 species
GCAUUGGUUGCACAGUGUUAGAAUUCUUGCCUUUUGUAUGGGAGACCUGGGUUCAACUCCCAGCCAAUGUA